rnacentral:rRNA from 1 species
GACGAACGCUGGCGGCAUGCCUAAUACAUGCAAGUCGAGCGAACGGAUGAAGUGCUUGCACUUCUGACGUUAGCGGCGAACGGGUGAGUAACACGUAAGGAAUCUACCUAUAAGCGGGGGAUAACAUUCGGAAACGGGUGCUAAUACCGCAUAAUAUCUUCUUCCGCAUGGAAGAAGAUUGAAAGACGGCUCUGCUGUCACUUAUAGAUGACCUUGCGGUGCAUUAGUUAGUUGGUGGGGUAAUGGCCUACCAAGACGAUGAUGCAUAGCCGACCUGGGAGGGUGAUCGGCCACAUUGGGACUGAGACGCGGCCCAAACUCCUACGGGAGGCAGCAGUAGGGAAUCUUCCGCAAUGGGCGAAAGCCUGACGGAGCAAUGCCGCGUGAGUGAAGAAGGCCUUCGGGUCGUAAAACUCUGUUAUAAGAGAAGAACAAAUUGUAGAGUAACUGCUACAGUCUUGACGGUAUCUUAUCAGAAAGCCACGGCUAACUACGUGCCAGCCGCCGCCGUAA